CUAGCCCUGAAAUGGAUGGCGCUCAAGCGUCCUCCCGAUACUCGACCGUCGGGGCAGUAACGGCCCUUUCCAGGGUCUCGAAGCCCCGACGAGUAGGAGGGUCGUGGCGGUGAGCGUUGAAGGGACCGGCGUGAGCCGGCCUGGAGCCGCCGCUAGUGCAGAUCUUGGUGGUAGUAGCAAAUACUCGAGUGAGAUCCUUGAGGACUGACCGUGGAGAAGGGUUCCAUGUGAACAUCAGUUGAACAUGGGUUAGUCGGUCCUAAGCCUCAGCCGAAAGGCGUCUCAGCGCUGGCAAGGUGUCAGUCCCAGGGCCCCACGAACCUCGCUCGCCGAGGGGAGAGGGGCCAAGGCGCCCUUCCCGACCAGUGCUUGACCGCGGGAGCUCACUCUCGCCGGUCCGAGGUCGCGCGAACCCUUCCCAGCCGGUGCUUGACCGCGGAUUUAACCCCGCGGUCCCCGGUCCCGGGAGGGGCGGCGUCCUGGUUCCCUGGGGGAUUUCGGUCCCCCGGGGGAGCAGGCGUUUGCCGUUCAGCCGUUGUAAAUUCGUAGGCAAAAGGGAAUCUGGUACUUAUUCCAGAACCUCGUCCCGGAUAAAACGUCCCCGAGCCUCCGGGUAAGGGUAUAACGGUCCCGGUAACGGGAAUGACCCUGCAUACACUGGCGGCGGUCCGGGGAAAAGUUUUCUUUUCUGUUUAAGACUCCGUGACCCUGGAAGCUACUCGCAAGGCGAUAGGGUCGUGGUAGCGUAGAGCGCCGCGGUUCUUGCGGCGUCCCGUGCGCCGUCGUCGGUCCUUGAAAAUGCAGGCGAGGGCGGAAACCCAAUGGUCGCAGCAGGCUAUGCCCCACGACGUGGUCGUCCCCACCGGCACGGGCGCAUCAGGAAGUUGCCUCCGACGGGAUAGUAAGCUCUCUGGCGUCAGACUGGUAUCAGGACGAACCCAUCUUCUCCCUCGGGAGUGGAAGGGAGCGAACCACCAGCUCAAGUCCUACCUCUCAUUGUCAGGGUUCUGGGCCCUCGUGCCCUAACCUGUCACGGACUUUCGGGCGAGCCCGUACCCAUAUCCGCAGCAGGUCUCCAAGGUGAAUAGCCUCUAGUCGAUAGAUUAAUGUAGGUAAGGGAAGUCGGCAAAUUA
rnacentral:rRNA from 1 species